GAUUACGCUGGCGGCGUGCAUAACACAUUCAAGUCGAACGAACGAGAGCCUUCGGGUUCAAGUUAGUGGCGGACGGGUGAGUAACGCGUGAGCAACCUGCCUUUGUGAGGGGGAUAACUACUGGAAACGACUGCUAAUACCGCAUAACACUUUAGUACCGCAUGGUACAGAAGUCAAAGCUUAAUGUGCUGAGAGAUGGUCUCGCGUCUGAUUAGCUAGAUGGCGGGGUAACGGCCCACCAUGGCGACGAUCAGUAGCCGGUCUGAGAGGAUGAACGGCCACAUUGGGACUGAGAUACGGCCCAGACUCCUACGGGAGGCAGCAGUGGGGAAUAUUGGGCAAUGGGGGAAACCCUGACCCAGCAACGCCGCGUGAAGGAAGAAGGUCUUCGGAUUGUAAACCUUAGUCAACAGGGAAGAAGCAAGUGACGGUACCUGUGGAGGAAGCCACGGCUAACUACGUG
rnacentral:rRNA from 1 species